UGCCAGCCGCCGCGGUAAUACGGAGGGUGCGAGCGUUAAUCGGAAUUACUGGGCGUAAAGCGCGCGUAGGCGGCCUGGUCAGUCGGAUGUGAAAGCCCCGGGCUUAACCUGGGAAUUGCAUUCGAUACUGCCUGGCUAGAGUAUGGGAGAGGGAAGUGGAAUUUCCGGUGUAGCGGUGAAAUGCGUAGAUAUCGGAAGGAACACCAGUGGCGAAGGCGGCUUCCUGGCCCAAUACUGACGCUCAGGUGCGAAAGCGUGGGGAGCAAACAGGAUUAGAUA
rnacentral:rRNA from 1 species